ACUGUCAAUGUAUCUGCUGAUUUCUGCCUGGAGCUUCACUCCCAGGAGCCUUGCUCAGUGUCAGCUUGCUUUCGACUCAUGAUUUGUUCCUGCUCUGUGUUUAGCUCCCCAGGAGACCCAUCCACCCCUUCUUACCAGCACAUCUGUCUUUACUGAGGACACAAAAACUGGGAAGAUCCCACCUCUCUCUCUGAGCACCAAGCACAAGCGCACAUCCUCUGAACCAGUGCCUUGGGUACCGCUUAGCCCUGAGCAGCCCAGCCAAGUCAACCUGAUUUCAGGUGCCCUGAAGGCAACAGGCUCCUUCCAYAUGUCUGGCCCUAGAAAAGUGGGACAACCUGACCCACACCAGCCCCUCCAGGAGCCAGAUCCAUGUUCUGUCCAUGCUGAGGAUGCUCCACCUCCUCUUCCUCGGAGGAGCAGUCUGAACAGACUGCUGCUCCGCAGGGUCMGA
rnacentral:lncRNA from 1 species